AUUGAACGCUGGCGGCAGGCCUAACACUUGCAAGUCGAACGGUAGCACAGAGAGCUUGCUCUCGGGUGACGAGUGGCGGACGGGUGAGUAACGUCUGGGAAACUGCCCGAUGGAGGGGGAUAACUACUGGAAACGGUAGCUAAUACCGCAUAACGUCGCAAGACCAAAGUGGGGGACCUUCGGGCCUCACACCAUCGGAUGUGCCCAGAUGGGAUUAGCUAGUAGGUGGGGUAAUGGCUCACCUAGGCGACGAUCCCUAGCUGGUCUGAGAGGAUGACCAGCCACACCGGAACUGAGACACGGUCCAGACUCCUACGGGAGGCAGCAGUGGGGAAUAUUGCACAAUGGGCGCAAGCCUGAUGCAGCCAUGCCGCGUGUAUGAAGAAGGCCUUCGGGUUGUAAAGUACUUUCAGCGGGGAGGAAGGCGGUGAAGUUAAUAGCUUCACCGAUUGACGUUACCCGCAGAAGAAGCACCGGCUAACUCCGUGCCAGCAGCCGCCGUAA
rnacentral:rRNA from 1 species